GAGAGAGAGGGAGAGAGAGGGAGAGAGAAAGAAAAAGAGAUGGAAAGGAAGAAAGGAAGAGAUAAAAAGAGCUUUCUAAAGCAGUAUAAAAAGUGUGAGAAGACGUGACGAGCUUUAACGGUUACUCUUAAAAGAUUCAACGCCGGGAACAACGUCAACUAGGAAAAAGCUAACAAUAAGUACUACGUGCGAAUACGUACGUGCUCUGGAUCAGUACGUACGAAAGCUUUAUAUCUCGAGGUCAAUUAAAAAAAUGUCAGCCGACGUGAGAGCUGGUCGACCUACAGUGCCAACUAUUCCUCAAUCGAAGAGGCCUACCAUUUUGGUCUAUCCAACAGUUUUACGUCGUUCUUCUUCACCCCUAACUCCACAUCCGAGCCAACCUACGCACUACUGUUUUGUCGGAACGAAAGUAGAGAAAGAAAGAAAAAAAGAAAAAAAAAAAAAAAAAAAAAGGAAAGAAAAAAGUAAAAUAUCACGUGUAAACCUGCUCUAAUCAAAUUUUCCUUUCGACCGAACAAAUUUAAAUUUAUCCGACAUAUAAUUUCAUGAAAUAACACAUUUCCUUAAUAAAGGAAAAUGAAAAAUGUUAUAAUAAUGCGAUGUUUGUAAACUUUUUCUUCUACUUUUUUCCUUUUUACACGUAAAUGCGCCAGCUUUACCGAUUGUGACGGAGAAAAAAAGAAAACAAAGAAAGAAAAAAAAAAGAAAAAAAAAAGAAAAAAAAGGAAAAAAAAAAGAAAAAAAAAAUAGGAAAGAAACUAGCCCGCGCUUUUUACUGACGACAGAACCAUCCUCCCACCAUCUCUUCGCCAAUACCAAUCGACUGGGCACGCGCAUGCGCACGACACACGUCAUCCCAAUGUUUACUUGCAAUAUCAACCGCUAGAUGGAGUUUGUUCUCGCUAACAAAGAGAACUCUCUUCAUAUAUAAUAACUACUUCGGUAGAUGUUAACUUCACUCUGGUUUCCCUUCAAUUCACGCAUAAAUCUUUCGCCUUUUACUAAAGAUUUCCGUGGAGGGGAACAAUUGAUGAGUCUAUAGACUAAUUUUUUGUAGACCCGACGAAAGUUGGGUCAAUAAACGAAAUACCAA